rnacentral:lncRNA from 1 species
ACCGCCCCCCUGGACGGCGUCAUCCUGGUGGUGGCGGCCACCGACGGGCAGAUGCCGCAGACCCGCGAGCACCUCCUGCUGGCACGGCAGGUGAGCACAGGUAAAGGGACAGGUGGGACAGGUGAGACAGGUAAAGGGACAGGUGAGACAGGUAAAGGGACAGGUGAGACAGGUGAGACAUGGACAGGUGGGACAGGGACAGGUGGGAUAGGUAAAGGGACAUGGACAGGUGAGACAGGUAAAGGGACAGGUGAGAUGGGACAGGUGAGACAUGGACAGGUGUGUCAGCACCUCCUGCUGGCACAGCAGGUAAGGACAGGUGGGACAGGUAAAGGGACAGGUGGGACAUGGACAGGUGGGACAGGUAAAGGGACAGGUAAAGGGACAGGUGGGACAGGUAAAGGGACAGGUGAGACAGGGACAGGUGAGACACACGGCCACCGACGGGCAGAUGCCGCAGACCCGCGAGCACCUCCUGCUGGCACGGCAGGUAAACUGCAGGUGGGACAGGUGAGACAGGGACAGGUGGGACAGGUAAAGGGACAGGUGAGACAGGUGAGAGACAGGUAAAGGGACAGGUAAAGGGACAGGUAAAGGGACAGGUGAGACAGGUGAGACAUGGACAGGUGGGACAUGGACAGGUGAGACAGGUGGGACAGGUAAAGGGACAGGUGGGACAUGGACAGGUGGGACAUGGACAGGUGGGACAUGGACAGGUGGGACAUGGACAGGUGGGACAGGUAAAGGGACAGGUGGGACAUGGACAGGUGGGACAUGGACAGGUGUGUCAGCACCUCCUGCUGGCACGGCAGGUGAGGA